UACGAAGGGGGCUAGCGUUGCUCGGAAUCACUGGGCGUAAAGCGCACGUAGGCGGAUUGUUAAGUCAGGGGUGAAAUCCUGGAGCUCAACUCCAGAACUGCCUUUGAUACUGGCGAUCUUGAGUCCGGGAGAGGUGAGUGGAACUGCGAGUGUAGAGGUGAAAUUCGUAGAUAUUCGCAAGAACACCAGUGGCGAAGGCGGACUCACUG
rnacentral:rRNA from 1 species